UACGGGGGGGGCAAGCGUUGUUCGGAAUUACUGGGCGUAAAGGGCUCGUAGGCGGCCAACUAAGUCGGAUGUGAAGUCCCCAGGCUCAACCUGGGAACUGCAUCCGAUACUGGAUGGCUUGAAUUCGGGAGAGGGAUGCAGAAUUCCAGGUGUAGCGGUGAAAUGCGUAGAUAUCUGGAGGAAUACCGGUGGCGAAGGCGGCAUCCUGGACCGACAUUGACGCUGAUGAGCGAAAGCUAGGGGAGCAAACGGG
rnacentral:rRNA from 1 species